UACGUAGGGUCCAAGCGAUAUCCGGAAUUACUGGGCGUAAAGCGUGUGUAGGUGGACUGAUAAGUGUGAUGCGAAAUCCAGCGGCUCAACCGUUUGGACUGUGUCGCAUACUGUUAGUCUAGAGGACGGCAGAGGUAAGUGGAAUUACGGGUGUAGCAGUGAAAUGCGUAGAUAUCCGUAGGAACACCAAUGGCGAAGGCAGCUUACUGGGCCACACCUGACACUGAGACACGAAAGCGUGGGGAGCGAACAGG
rnacentral:rRNA from 1 species